rnacentral:lncRNA from 1 species
UUAAGGAAGACCAUGUCGCCUACUUGAUACUCAAUAUUUCACCGUUUGGAGUCAGCCACCUGUUUCAUGCGAUUGGUAGCAGCAUGUAAAUUGGUCUUGAGUUGGCGUAAUAUUGCAUCUCUGGAGGCGAGAUUUUGGUCGACUGCAUGAACUGGAGUUGUGCCCAUCAGAUAGUGUGGAAUGUUUGGAGGUAGACGCCCAUACAAAGCUUGAAAUGGUGUCAUUCCUGUUGAUGCGUGGUAAGUUGUGUUGUACCAAAAUUCUGCCCAUGGAAGAAAGAAGCUCCAUUUUCGUGG